AAAUUUGGCAGAGCCAAACAGCUGUCACCCUAAAGCAGGCAUUUUUCAAGUGGUUGCUGCUUGCUGUAUUCUUCUCCUCUAGCUGGAGGAAUAUUCCCACGCUCGGUUGUUGAAAUUGGCUGCAAGACAAGAGAAUCCAGUUCAGCAAUCCGCUCCUGAUGACCCACCCCUAGGCCUGUGCCCUGGUGUUGCUCCACUAACAGUCCUCCUGACAGACUUAGAAUCAGAACCAGCACAGUACAGGAUUUGAACUGACUGCCAGAUCUGCACACUCUACGUGGGAUUUGCAAAUCAAGCUGUGUUCGUGUCACCUCUGCCACCAUCACCAGUAAUAACUAGGACUUCACUUGAAGUGGCCCAAAGUCAGAGAGAAGCCAGCUAGCCCUCCCGUCACUCUGUCGGCUCCGCAGUGCUGCUAACCAUAGCAAGAACCUGAUAGAUUUGUCUGCAGAUGUAACUCAGAAAUAUGGAAGGGACCGGAUCCUGUUCUCAGUCACACAUUUGUCUUCUCAAUAGCAUUCAUUUCAGAAUUAAAGGGGGAACCAAUUUCUGGCUGCAAGGAAGAAAAGAAACUUGCAGGAUGGACCCUGAUUUGAGAACAAGGGGAAAUUUUCCCAGUCAGUGUAAAUCAUCAUGACACCAGCAUGAAGCCAGAUGACAGGGUGAGUUGGGGGUGUUUGGAGCAGAUACUAAUUAGGAAAGAACAGUUCCACGAAGCUACUUUAUUCUCUUUCCCUUCCAGCCUCCCCCCCCCCCCCUGCUCCACUUUGGCUGCAUGAGCAGCUUGGGAUCCCAGCUGGGGAGCAGCUGUGGGCUUGCACUGGCCCUUUAAAGGCGAAGGUGCACUGUCUCUUUAAGCCAGGUCUCUUGUGGGUUGUGUUCAGUGAAGGAAGUGACGGGGGGAGAUUGAAUGAAAAGAGAAAAACAGAAUCAAAGAGUCCCAAGUAAGGGACAGAGGGAGCUGGGGCAGGGCUGCUGUGGGAGAGGGAAAAGACAGGCUGGACAUGGUGGGGUAGCAGGGUACGAGGAGGAGAGGUGGUUGCCAAGGAUCUGGGCACCAGCCAGCCACUCCACCGGAGCACUGGGAGGUGUAAAGUGCAAGCAGCAGCCCAUGUGCUGUCCAGAGUCCAGGGAGAGAGGCGGAGAGGGGUAAGCGGAGAGGGCUCCGGGGGUGGAGGAGGAGGAGGCAGAGGGUGACACGCGGGGAGCUCCCAGACUCGGGGGCUCUCUUAGCUCCGCCAAACUUUCAGGCAAAGUUUGGGAACUUCGUGGGGAGGGUUGUCUCGGGAGCCGCU